GACGAACGCUGGCGGCGUGCCUAACACAUGCAAGUCGAGCGGAGAUUGUAGCAAUACAAUCUUAGCGGCGGACGGGUGAGUAACGCGUGGGCAACUUGCCUCAUACAGGGGGAUAACACAGGGAAACUUGUGCUAAUACCGCAUGACAUCCGACCGGGACAUCCCGGACGGAUCAAAGGAGAAAUCCGGCAGGAGAUGAGCUCGCGUCCGAUUAGCUAGUUGGUGAGGUAAAGGCCCACCAAGGCGACGAUCGGUAGCCGAACUGAGAGGUUGAUCGGCCACAUUGGGACUGAGACACGGCCCAGACACCUACGGGAGGCAG
rnacentral:rRNA from 1 species